GCAGAAAAAAAACAUACAAAGCGUCGUUUACCGUGACUUUGAUUAGUUUCAUUCUUUCACAACAUGCACAAUGUGUACUGGUCUGAAAGUGAAAGUGAAAACGGCUGGAAAUCGUAAACAAACCUUCAGAGCAUGCCAACCCGGGAGUUCGAGCAGUUGUCAAGGCAAGAAUCUUCUCAAAUCUAGAUGAAGUGCCAAAAAAUUACCACUGGUUUCAAACUUCGUCAAAAUAACGAUGCAGACCCGCUCAACUUGAUUUGAAAUGAUUGGCUAUUCAACCGAAUACACAGUGCCAUAUUUGGGUUACUGUUAAGAGUAGAUCGUUCGUUUUACAUUCGAGAAGAGUUUACAUAUUACUUGAAUGAAGAGGAUAACAUAAUACUGAGCUGAAAAUUGUGUGUAAAGUAUGUUUUCAGUGUAGUUUACAAUACAGGCUGUAAAUGUGCUGGAGAUUUUAUUGAUGUUGAAGCUUGUGAACAAAACCAGUAAACGUAGGACUUAUUCACGGCAAUGUAUGGGAACCAGAGUAGGGAACAAGUCUAGAAGGCAAAGAAAAUUCCGCCAAGUAAACAACAAAGAAAGGGAUUUGGGAUGAUGUCAGUUGUAUACAUUAUGUGGGCCGGUGACUGCAAGAAGCAAGGAAUGCGGAGCUAAUGCAUGCUGCUAAGGAUUGAAAGGUCUUGUGUUUAUUGGUUGUUCCUGAGACACCAGUCACAGUUGUACCUUAUUUCCAUUUUAGAAGCAAAGAAUGUGGAGCUAAUGCAUGCUGCUAAGGAUGGAAAGGUCUUGUGUUUAUUGGUUGUGCCUGAGACACCAGUCACAGUUGUACCUUAUUUCCAUUUUAGGGAGUCUAUAUACACUUGAAAGGUGAGCGUCAGAUUUAAUUUUGAAGAUGGAUGACUUUCAGAUGUUGUGAUGAAGAUUGUUGAAAGAGAUUAUCAACAUAGAACCAUUCCAUAUGAAUGUGCAAGUCAGGACUUGUACAUCACCUGAGUACCCAGAUGACUGUUAAACUAAUUGGUGAACAAGAAAAGAUGUCAGAGAGGGGAAUCCAAUACAGAUGUCAUGAUCAAGAAAAUGUACUGUUAUCAAUGAUAUGAUCAAGAAUUUGUAAACUUGUAGCGAUUUAGAAUAUCUUAUCUGUAAUAUAACUCUUCAAUACUUAAUUGUUCACACAUUAUCAUCUUAUCUGUAUAUUAAUCGCCCCCUCUUACAUAUAACCCCCUGCUGAUUGUAAUGACCUGUGUAUCGAUUCCUGAUCUUUAGGAUCUUAUAAUGUGCUCGUCAGGAGCGGAUCUUGAGUAUAUAUAUAUAUAGUGCGGCAGAAUUUUAGAAUAAGAUAGGAAGAUGGAAAUAUAGAAGACUUAGUAGAUAGAACUGUUAGAAAUAGAUAAAGUUACUUACUUACUUGGAAUAUUACCUAAUAUUUCUUGAAUUUAUAUGUACAUGUGAUUAUUUAACUUGGAUUUUAUUUUUAGUGAAUUAUUUUUCCUGAAUGUUUCCAUUUGUGAUGUGCUGUGAAAAUAAACUGUAGACUAGAAUUUCGGCAUCUAUUUUCAAGAUAUGAGGUACAAGGAUAAAUUGAUUUAUUCAUGCAAACUGACAUUAUGAAAUGUGUUAUAAGACCGCCCGAUGCGGCACUACAAAC